UACGGAGGAUGCGAGCGUUAUCCGGAUUUAUUGGGUUUAAAGGGUGCGUAGGCGGGUUAUCAAGUCAGCGGUAAAAAUGCGGUGCUCAACGCCGUCGAGCCGUUGAAACUGGCGUUCUUGAGUGGGCGAGAAGUAUGCGGAAUGCGUGGUGUAGCGGUGAAAUGCAUAGAUAUCACGCAGAACUCCGAUUGCGAAGGCAGCAUACCGGCGCCCGACUGACGCUGAAGCACGAAAGCGUGGGUAUCGAACAGG
rnacentral:rRNA from 1 species